CAGUGAUGCUCAGAGGUUACUUCCGGCUCUGCAUUCAGGGAUUACUCCUGGAGGUGCUUGGGGGACCUUAUGGGACUCCGGAGAUCAAAUCCAGGAACUAAAAGAAGACCUGAUAUCUAGUUUAAAGAACCCUGAAUCUGAAGUCAUCAUCAAGUUAUUUCCCAGCAGGAUUAUCUACAAAGAAACUGAACUAGGAUCCAAAUGGAAAAUUUAUAAACCUGCCUCAUGAUCUGGGGGAGAAGGCAGCUGGAAUAGAGAAGGGAUCCCUAAGACAAUGAUGGUUGGAGGAAUCGUUCGGGAUGGGAGAUAUGUGCUGAAGACGAGACCCUGAGUGGCUGCCCACGAACGGCUCCUCCACUCCUGAACAGCUAUGAUCCCAGAGGCACACAAACCAAUCUUGGAACACAGCGGCUGCUGGCAGAAAUGCUCCUGGACUGUUAACUAAGCUAUGGCCCUGUGCCGCCCUGGGAGGAGAAGGCCUUUUGUCCCUCGGCCUUUUCCCCUUUGCGGCAGCAUGGUGACCGCCACCUUUCAGAGCCAAUUGGACAGAGAGGUAGGAGCUUGCAGUGAUGAGGCACAAGGGAAAUCUCACGAUGCGAGGGCGUGGGGGUCCUCAGUAUUUCCCAUGCGUUUCAUUUCCUGUUGUUUUGCCUAAGCCCAGGAGUCAUUCAUGUCCCAGGUUCCAAAAACAUGCUUUUAGGCAGAAAACCCCUUCAAGAAGAAGACCUAACUGCGCUUAGUGUGAAAGAAAGCCUAGUAUUUUUACUAAAAGUCCCAUUGAAGAUAUAGAUGAUUGGGGCCAGAGCAAUAGUACAGCAGAUAGGGUGCUUGGCUUGCACACAGUUGACCCAGGUUCAAUCCCUGGCACCACAUAUAGUUCCAAGCUCUCUGAAUGCAGAUCCAGGAACAAACCCUGAAUAUUUUGGAGAAUAGCCCCAAAAGAAACAAACAAAAAUAUUUAAAUGGUUUAUACAAUUUUGCUCUAGGAACAUAAUUUUCUGAUCAUUAGUUUAGUGAUGAUCUAAACUCACAGAAGAUCAGAGUAUAUAUCUUUCCAUUAAAAAAAAAAGGUGAAAAUUCGCUGAAAUUGGACUAGUGUCUGAACAUGAUGGCCACUCAAUACCCCUCUUGCAGACCACAACACCCAAAAGGAGAGAGAGAGAACAAAUUGGAAUGCC